GCCGGUCUAAGUCCCUUGGAACAGGGCGUCACAGAGGGUGAGAAUCCCGUACGUGACCGGCGACUAACCCCAUGUGAAACCCCUUCGACGAGUCGAGUUGUUCGGGAAUGCAGCUCAAAAUGGGUGGUAAAUUUCAUCUAAAGCUAAAUACCGGCCAGAGACCGAUAGCGCACAAGUAGAGUGAUCGAAAGAUGAAAAGCACUUUGGAAAGAGAGUCAAACAGUACGUGAAAUUGUAGAAAGGGAAGCGCUUGCAACCAGACCUGUCCGCCGGCGAUCAACCUCCGUUCUCGGUGGUGCACUCGCCGGCGAUCAGGCCAGCAUCGGUUCGGGCGGUGGGAUAAAGGCCCUGGGAAUGUGGCUCCCUUCGGGGAGUGUUAUAGCCC
rnacentral:rRNA from 1 species